AUAAACUUCAUGUGAUUCAAGCAAGACCUUUGUGAUGUCGAUUAAGAAUGCGACCUUGCAUGCGGGAAUAACUAACUAUUUUCAUAUCUCAUUGCAUAAUUCAUGCCCUUUAUCAUUCAUCAAAGUCCCUUGAAAAUAGUUUUAAAUAUUUUUUGUUAGGAUUAGUUUUUAAACAUAAUAUUAGUCUAUAAAUUAAUGCAACGACUUUUGUUUUUGUCUCUCAAACAAAUUUGUUCUUAUGUUGACCUUUUUACUAUAAAGUGUGACAAAACUUCACCUACGUUUUUGAAAGCAGUAAUCAUCAUGUAAACCUUCAUAUAAGGCUUCACUCUUAAUCGUAUGUCCAACAAACCUUAUAUGACAUUGAUAAAUUAAUUAUAUUAAUUAUGUAUCGACUUUCUUUGAACAACUUUUAAUAUGGUUUCUCUUAUAUUUCAUGAUAAGUGUGAUCACAUCAUCAACUAAUUCUCAUGUUUUCUUUUGUUGUUCUAAUUUGUAUUGUUUCCUUUACAUUGGGAUGCAAAUGAAAUAGUUUUGUUCACGUAUGUAAACACAAGUUAAUUACAAUAGGUAAGUUGCUCAAUGAAAUAUAAUUUUAAGAGCACUUUAAAUAAGACUUAGCUGAAAAAACAUUGUGUUCAAGAUAAUGAAUUUGAUCCCUCUUCUGUUCUCUAGAUGCCUCUUUUUAUAGGCCUCAUUUUCUAGAUCUAAUAGGUCUUUCUUUGGAUGUCCAGGCCCAUUAACUCUCUGAGGUCAAUAUGGAUCACUUGUACCAGACGCGUGGAGCCGAUCAUGUUUCCUUGAACUGCUCGUCCGUACAAGGCACGUGGAGUCAAGGGUACACAGCUCACGUCACUUGUCUGUGCAAGACGUGUGGCGUGUUCUGAGAUACUCUCAAGAGGAGGACCACAAUGAUGUCUGGACAACGACUUGAUGGCGGAGCUCACAUUAUCUGAACGAUCAAACUAAGUUAAGCAGAUGAAGCUCGUUUUACCUGAACAAUCAAGCUGAGCUAAGCAGGUGGAGCUCACGUGACCUGAACAAUAAAGCUUAGACGUCAAGCAUGUUAUGGCGUAGACUGUCGACCUGAACCAGUCCAAGUUCUAUUAUAGUAAACAUUUUAUUUGUACCAACUGUAAACAAAAUUUAAUUUGGACAACGUCAUUUAUCCCAUAUUUUUAUUUUUGAGGGACUUUCAAUCUAUCUGUAUAUAUAAAGAGUGACAUGUGACAUGCCUAACAAGGUGCUGCCUUUUCUACAAUAUUUUAUUUUUGGGUACGACUUAUUUUUUGACAAUAGGGAAAGACUUCUGAUUUAUAAUUAUAUUA
rnacentral:lncRNA from 1 species